UGGGGAAUCUUGCACAAUGGGCGCAAGCCUGAUGCAGCAACGCCGCGUGGGGGAUGAAGGCCCUCGGGUCGUAAACCCCUUUCAGCAGGGACGAUAAUGACGGUACCUGCAGAAGAAGCCCCGGCCAACUACGUGCCAGCAGCCGCGGUAACACGUAGGGGGCAAGCGUUGUCCGGAUUUAUUGGGCGUAAAGAGCUCGUAGGCGGCUUGGUAAGUCAGGUGUGAAACCCCCGGGCUCAACCCGGGGACGCCACCUGAUACUGCUAUGGCUUGAGUCCGGUAGGGGAGCGUGGAAUUCCUGGUGUAGCGGUGAAAUGCGCAGAUAUCAGGAGGAACACCAGCGGCGAAGGCGGCGCUCUGGGCCGGAACUGACGCUGAGGAGCGAAAGCGUGGGGAGCAAACAG
rnacentral:rRNA from 1 species